UGCGUAGGCGGUUUACUAAGUCAGGUGUGAAAGCCCCGGGCUUAACCUGGGAACUGCAUUUGAUACUGGUAGGCUAGAAUAUGAUAGAGGGGGGUAGAAUUCCUGGUGUAGCGGUGAAAUGCGUAGAUAUCAGGAGGAAUACCAGUGGCGAAGGCGGCCCCCUGGAUCAAUACUGACGCUGAGGUACGAAAGCGUGGGUAGCGAACA
rnacentral:rRNA from 1 species